AAUCAACGCUGGCGGCAUGCCUAACACAUGCAAGUCGAACGGGAAAGUGGGAGCAAUCCCAUGAGUAUAGUGGCGCACGGGUGAGUAACACGUGACUAACCUACCCUCGAGUGGGGAAUAACCCCGGGAACCGGGGCUAACACCGCAUAAUACCGCAAGGUCAAAUGCGCAAGCAGCUUGAGGAGGGGGUCGCGGUUGAUUAGCUAGUUGGUAGGGUAAUGGCCUACCAAGGCAGNGAUCAAUAGCCGGCCUGAGAGGGCGCACGGCCACACUGGAACUGAAACACGGUCCAGACUCCUACGGGAGGCAGCAGUGGGGAAUUUUGCGCAAUGGGGGAAACCCUGACGCAGCAAUGCCGCGUGGAGGAUGAAGUCCUUUGGGAUGUAAACUCCUUUCGAUCGGGAAGAUAAUGACGGUACCGGAAG
rnacentral:rRNA from 1 species